rnacentral:rRNA from 1 species
UACGUGCCAGCAGCCGCGGUAAUACGUAGGGUGCAAGCGUUAUUCGGAAUUACUGGGCGUAAAGCGUGCGCAGGGGUUUUGUAAGUCAGAUGUGAAAUCCCCGGGCUCAACUUGGGAACUGCAUUUGAGACUGCAGACUAGAGUACGACAGAGGGGGGUGGAAUUCCUGGUGUAGCAGUGAAAUGCGUAGAUAUCAGGAGGAACACCGAUGGCGAAGGCAGCCCCCUGGGCCAUGACUGACACUCAGGCACGAAAGCGUGGGGAGCAAACAGGAUUAGAUACCCUGGUAGUCCAC